UUCAUGCGGAAUUUCACAAUUACGGUCAAUCACUCUGAUCUGAUCAAUUGUUCUAACAUCAGGAGAAAGUCCACCAUGGACACAUAAUACUGUUCCGUCUAUGAUUGCCGAGAGAGUAAGAUAGUCAAAAACAUCAGUGCAGUACCGCCAUGCAUUCGCAUUUCCAUACUUCCUUUGACACUCAUCAUAGAAUCCAUAGACCUGUGUUAGUUGCCUGCUCUCGUGAUUUCCACGUAAAAGAGUAAUGUUGGCUGGGUAUCUUGCUUUAAGGAGCAACAAAAUUGUAAAAACUUCUAAACUAUUGUAUCCACGGUCAACAAAAUCUCCCAUGAAAAUGUAAUUUGUAUCAGGUACAUGACCUCCAGUCUGGAAGAGUUUCAUUAGAUCAUGAAACUGG
rnacentral:misc_RNA from 1 species